CAGGUAGGUUAUCUGGAGUCUCCGAGGCUUCCUACCUUUACCUGUAAAGCAGGAUAAGCAACCCCCCUUCCUAGGGCCACUGCGCUACAGAUAAUGUGUGUGAAAGUGCUCCAGGCAUCGGCGGGGCUGGCAACAGGGAGAUGUUAUUAUUUGUAAUUUGCCGAUUAAGAAACUGAGGCACCGAGGGAGGCUGUGAGUAAGCCUCAGUCUGGGCUCCCACCAGGAGAAGGAGACGCUUGUGGGAGAAUGUGCCCAUGGUUCCUUUGAACUCUAGCAACCUGGGUUCUGCCAUCAAAGAGGUGAAGUUUGUCAAAGGUGGUCCUGAAUCACCCAGAAGAUGAGGCGCUUCUCCCCAACACCUUAGGAAAGGACCUGAAUCCACGUGCACUGAGGCCUCAUGAAACAAGACACCCAGCUUCUAGCCACCCCUGCCGGGUUGCCCAGUGUCCCUCAGCUGACUUGCCUUGCAACCUCUUGCCUGCCUCUGUCACCAGCCUUUUAUGUUCAUGGCAAGGCCACGGCUCUUCAGUUGGUGCUGCAGCCUUGAUCUGGGCUCUCGGGCCCUAAGGGAUUGUAUCUAGAAACACCUGAAGUGGGAUUUCUCAAUCUGGGCACAACAGGCAUUUUGAGUGGCUUACCCCCACCCCCAUGCUCCUCACCACCCGGCCCUGUGGGACCAGUUCUGUGCAUUGCCAGUAGCACUCCACCAGUCAAUCAAAAAUAUCUCUAGGCACUGUCACAUGUCCCCUGUGGGAGGUGGGGGGACCUGACCUCCACCCUUCCACAUGGAGAAUCACUGAUUAGACACUCCUUCGUGCCAGGUUGUAGACAGUAGGCAUGGUGCUCCUUUAGGUAUCAAUACAUAGAUGUGGUUUAUAUUUUUCAGAUUUAAAUUCAUGCCAGAAAGAGCCCCCUAUGAAGGAGGGAGUUGUUUCAACUGCAGAUGGAACUGGCAGGGGCAAGAGAGAAAGAGCAGGAAUGGUAUUUUCUUGUUCAAAGAGUCCUUUGAAAGGCCGCACUGAACCCCGGGGACCAUGGGGUGGCAGGUGCCUGGGAGGCUCACGGGCUUAGCCCUCCUCCCCCUGAGCCUGGGAGGUGGGGUUUGCCCCCCACGCCCUGCCCUUCCUCCCAGGGCUGCCAGCUCUUCGUGUGGCCUCUGAGUGUGUGCUCAGUGAAUCUUCAGCAGCAGGAAAGGCACAUCUCAGAGGUAGGUGGGAGGGUGUGACCCCAGCUUUGAAAAAAUAACAUCACUCUACACACACCCAUGCACGGAGACAGACACACCUAAAUGUCACUCCCAUUACUGGCAGAGGAAGCUGGGAUUUCAGGUGACUCUUCAUUCAUUUAUCUUAUAUGUUUUAUACAUUUUCUCAUUUUUCUAUCUUGAGCAAGAAACAAAAGUCAUUCAAAAAGUAGGAAAGUAGACACUUGGGAGAAAGUACGCUGAUGUCCAAAUUGCCAGAAACCGCACUGGAUCACGCGGGCAGCCCGGCGAUCUGGGGAGGGCUCCCCUGGGGCUGAGCUUCAGGAGAGGGCACAGGGCGCGACAUGGAGUUCCGGGAAUGCGCAGGCUGCCGCCCUCCUCUGCCAGCUCUCGGGAGCGUGGAGAUGGGGUGGUGGGGCGGCUGGGAGUGAACCCCGAACGUCUCUCCGUCCCUGCACCUAUGUCUGGACCGGAACCAUGCGGCCUCCCGCACCUGGGGCGGUGCGCCGCGGGAGCCAGGGACAGGCGACAGGUCCGCCUGUGGGGGCCUUUCCAGACUGGUGCCCGGUGGCUAAAGGCGACCGGGUCGGAGUGACCACGAGCCCUUGACCACACCUGUAGGACACGUGGGCAGGCCGGGGUUGCGUGUGGCUUCUCGGGAGGAAGAUCGGCGAGAUGUCGCUUGGGCGUUUCCGGGAGCCUUUAGUGGCCCUGGUUCUCGGGAACUGGACGUAAAACAAAAGAGCCAAAGGCAACGCGACCCGCGCGGCGGGCCCCGGCGGCUGGCAGUGUCCUCGCAGUCCUUUUUGCAGAUGCCACGUGAGGCUGGGCCCCGGAUUGCC
rnacentral:lncRNA from 1 species